UACGGGGGGGGCAAGCGGUGUUCGGAAUUACUGGGCGUAAAGGGCUCGUAGGUGGCCAACUAAGUCAGACGUGAAAUCCCUCGGCUUAACCGGGGAACUGCGUCUGAUACUGGAUGGCUUGAGAUUGGGAGAGGGAUGCGGAAUUCCAGGUGUAGCGGUGAAAUGCGUAGAUAUCUGGAGGAACACCGGUGGCGAAGGCGACAUCCUGGACCAACACUGACACUGAGGAGCGAAAGCCAGGGGAGCAAACGGG
rnacentral:rRNA from 1 species